ACUAUUUUGGCAGAAAAGUGCCAUGGAUUUAGAAUCCAUUAAUGUGAGAAAUUCUUACAAAUAGUA
rnacentral:tRNA from 1 species